rnacentral:rRNA from 1 species
GACGAAGGGGGCUAGCGUUGCUCGGAAUCACUGGGCGUAAAGCGCACGUAGGCGGCUUUUUAAGUCAGAGGUGAAAUCCUGGAGCUCAACUCCAGAACUGCCUUUGAUACUGGAGAGCUUGAGUCCGGGAGAGGUGAGUGGAACUGCGAGUGUAGAGGUGAAAUUCGUAGAUAUUCGCAAGAACACCAGUGGCGAAGGCGGCUCACUGGGUCAUUACUGACGCUGAGGCACGAAAGCGUGGGGAGCAAACAGG